GAUGAACGCUGGCGGCGCGCCUAACACAUGCAAGUCGAACGGUUAAAGCACCUUUUAGGUGUGUAUAAAGUGGCGAACGGCUGAGUAACACGUGGGCAACCUGCCCUCCUCUUGGGGAUAGCCUCGGGAAACCGAGGAUAAUACCCGAUACUUCAAUGUGGCCGCAUGGCGACAUUGAGAAAGCUUUUGCGGAGAAGGAUGGGCCCGCGGCCUGUUAGCUUUUUGGUGGGGUAGAGGCCUACCAAGGCAAUGAUGGGUAGCUGGGUUGAGAGACCGACCAGCCAGAUUGGGACUGAGACACGGCCCAGACUCCUACGGGAGGCAGCAGUGGGGAAUCUUGCACAAUGGGCGAAAGCCUGAUGCAGCGACGCCGCGUGCGGGACGAAGGCCUUCGGGUUGUAAACCGCUUUCAGCAGGGACGAGGCGA
rnacentral:rRNA from 2 species